GAAGGGUGUCAGUACCAUGCCCUUGGUAAAGACAACUAUUGUAGAGUCAGUCCUAAUCUAGCGGGUGACCCCUGGGAUCAGUCCUAUAUAUUUAAAUGCACUAACGGGUGAUCUCUGAGUAUGUCAGUCCUAUCUAACGGGUGACAUCUCGUACCUAUACUGACUACGUAGUUUUUGAACUUAGGGAUUGCUUCUAGAGAUCUCAGUCCAUCUAGCAGGUGAG
rnacentral:lncRNA from 1 species